GCAGACGGCGGAGAGCAGAGAGGGAGCGCGCCUUGGCUCGCUGGCCUUGGCUGCGGCUCCUCGGGAGAGCUGGGGCGCCCACGAGAGGAUCCCUCACCUGGGUCUCUCCUCAGGGAUGACAUCAUCCGUCCACCUCCUUGUCUUCAAGGACCACCUCCUCUCCAUGCCGAGCUGCUGCCAAGGGGCCUGCUGCCCAUCUACACCUCACGAGGGCACUAGGAGCACGGAUUCCUGGAUCCCACCAACAUACAAAGCAGCCACUCACAGACCCCCAGGACCAGGAUGGCAAAGGAUGAAGAGGACCGGAACUGACCUGCCAGCUGUCCCUCUUACCUAAAGACUUAAACCAAUGCCCUAGUGAGGGGGCAUUGGACAUUAAGCCCUGACUUUUGCUAUGCUCAUGCUUUGACUCUAUGAGUACUUUCCUAUAAGUCUUCGCUUGUGUUCACCUGCUAGCAAACUGGAGUGUUUCCCUCCCCAAGGGGGUGUCAGUCUUUGUCGACUGACUCUGUCAUCACCCUUAUGAUGUCCUGAAUGGAAGGAUCCCUUUGGGAAAUUCUCAGGAGGGGGACCUGGGCCAAGGGCUUGACCAGCAUCCUGCUGGCAACUCCAAGGCCCUGGGUGGGCUUCUGGAAUGAGCAUGCUACUGAAUCACCAAAGGCAUGCCCCACCUCUCUGGAGAUCUUCCUAUCCUUUUCUGGGGAAUGGGGUCAAUGGGAGCAACCUCCUAGGGUUGUUGUGAGAAUUAAAUGAGAUAAAAGAGGCCUCAGGCAGGAUCUGGCAUAGAGGAGGUGAUCAGCAAAUGUUUGUUGAAAAGGUUUGACAGGUCAGUCCCUUCCCACCCCUCUUGCUUGUCUUACUCGUCUUAUUUAUUCUCCAACAGCACUCCAGGCAGCCCUUGUCCACGGGCUCUCCUUGCAUCAGCCAAGCUUCUUGAAAGGCCUGUCUACACUUGCUGUCUUCCUUCCUCACCUCCAAUUUCCUCUUCAACCCACUGCUUCCUGACUCGCUCUACUCCGUGGAAGGGCACUCACAAAGCAGGUUCCCAGUGCCCCCGACAAGCCCCUGCUGGUGUCUCCAUCUCCUGCCAAGCAUCCUGCAAUGCCGCCUCCUGUGGGCCUGGCCUCAGGGCUAUGGACAGACUCCUGUCCCAUCCCAGAGACCCCUCGUGAUCGUGCCCUGGCACGUGGGCCGCGGCCCAGCUGGGUCGGCUGAAGAACUGCGGAUGGAAGCUGUGGAAGAGGCCCUGAUGGGGCCCACCAUCCCGGACCCGAGUCUUCUUCCUGGAGGGCCUCUCGUCUCCUUCCUGUUUUGGGCGGAAGCCAUCACCUGGAUUCCUACGUGGGAAGG
rnacentral:lncRNA from 1 species